rnacentral:rRNA from 1 species
GACGAAUGCUGGCGGCGUGCUUAACACAUGCAAGUCGAACGGAAAGGCCCUGCUUUUGUGGGGUGCUCGAGUGGCGAACGGGUGAGUAACACGUGAGUAACCUGCCCUUGACUUUGGGAUAACUUCAGGAAACUGGGGCUAAUACCGGAUAGGAGCUCCUGCUGCAUGGUGGGGGUUGGAAAGUUUCGGCGGUUGGGGAUGGACUCGCGGCUUAUCAGCUUGUUGGUGGGGUAGCGGCUUACCAAGGCUUUGACGGGUAGCCGGCCUGAGAGGGUGACCGGCCACAUUGGGACUGAGAUACGGCCCAGACUCCUACGGGAGGCAGCAGUGGGGAAUAUUGCACAAUGGGCGGAAGCCUGAUGCAGCAACGCCGCGUGCGGGAUGACGGCCUUCGGGUUGUAAACCGCUUUCGCCUGUGACGAAGCGUGAGUGACGGUAAUGGGUAAAGAAGAACCGGCUAACUACGUG